rnacentral:rRNA from 1 species
GAUGAACGCUGGCGGCGUGCUUAACACAUGCAAGUCGAACGAAGCACCUUGAUUCGAUUCUUCGGAUGAAGAUCUUGGUGACUGAGUGGCGGACGGGUGAGUAACGCGUGGGUAACCUGCCUCAUACAGGGGGAUAACAGUUAGAAAUGACUGCUAAUACCGCAUAAGACCACAGCACCGCAUGGUGCAGGGGUAAAAGCUCCGGUGGUAUGAGAUGGACCCGCGUCUGAUUAGGUAGUUGGUGGGGUAACGGCCUACCAAGCGGACGAUCAGUAGCCGAGCUGAGAGGCUGACCCGCCACAUUUGGACUGAGACACGGCCCAGACUCCUACGGGAGGCAGCAGUGGGUAAUAUUGCACAAUGGGGGAAACCCUGAUGCAGCGACGCCGCGUGAGCGAUGAAGUAUUUCGGUAUGUAAAGCUCUAUCAGCAGGGAAGAUAAUGACGGUACCUGACGAAGAAGCACCGGCUAAAUACGUG